rnacentral:rRNA from 1 species
UACGGAGGGUGCAAGCGUUAUCCGGAUUCACUGGGUUUAAAGGGUGCGUAGGCGGGCAGGUAAGUCAGUGGUGAAAUCCUAGAGCUUAACUCUAGAACUGCCAUUGAUACUAUCUGUCUUGAAUAUUGUGGAGGUAAGCGGAAUAUGUCAUGUAGCGGUGAAAUGCUUAGGUAUGACAUAGAACACCUAUUGCGAAGGCAGCUUACUACGCAUAUAUUGACGCUGAGGCACGAAAGCGUGGGGAUCAAACAGG